rnacentral:rRNA from 1 species
GACGUAGGGUGCAAGCGUUGUCCGGAAUUAUUGGGCGUAAAGAGCUCGUAGGCGGUUUGUCGCGUCUGCUGUGAAAACUCAGGGCUUAACUCUGAGCUUGCAGUGGGUACGGGCAGACUAGAGUGCGGUAGGGGAGACUGGAAUUCCUGGUGUAGCGGUGAAAUGCGCAGAUAUCAGGAGGAACACCGGUGGCGAAGGCGGGUCUCUGGGCCGAUACUGACACUGAGACGGCGAAAAGCGUGGGGAGCGAACAGG